CUACGGGCGGCUCCAGUGAGGAAUUUUGCGCAAUGAGGGAAACCCUGACGCAGCAACGCCGCGUGAGCGAAGAAGGCCUUCGGGUCGUAAAGCUCUGUCAAGUGGGAAAAAGGCCCUUCGAUUAAUACUCGAUGGGUUUGAUGGUACCACUGGAGGAAGCACCGGCUAACUCCGUGCCAGCAGCCGCGGUAAUACGGAGGGUGCAAGCGUUGUUCGGAAUUACUGGGCGUAAAGGGCGUGCAGGCGGUUUGGCAAGUCAGAUGUGAAAGCCCUGGGCUUAACCCGGGAAGUGCAUUUGAAACUGCCUGUCUUGAGUAUGGGAGAGGAGAGUGGAAUUCCCAGUGUAGAGGUGAAAUCCGUAGAUAUUGGGAGGAACACCCGUGGCGAAGGCGACUCUCUGGACCAAUACUGACGCUGAGACGCGAAAGCGUGGGGAGCAAACAGGAUUAGAUACCCGCGUAGUC
rnacentral:rRNA from 1 species